rnacentral:misc_RNA from 1 species
GAUGAAGAACGUAGCGAAAUGCGAUACUUGGUGUGAAUUGCAGAAUCCCGUGAACCAUCGAGUCUUUGAACGCAAGUUGCGCCCGAAGCCAUUAGGCCGAGGGCACGCCUGCCUGGGCGUCACACGUCGUUGCCCCCCCAUCUACUCCUUCGGGAUUGCGGGGGGCGGAUGAUGGCCUCCCGUGCGCCUCGUCGCGCGGUUGGCAUAAAUGCCAAGUCCUCGGCGACGCACGCCACGACAAUCGGUGGUUGCGAAACCUCGGUUGCCCGUCGUGUGCGGUCGUCGCGCAUCNNNGGCUCGAAAAAAUUGCCGGGCUCCGGCUCGGCUUUCAACGCGACCCCAGGUCAGGCGGGGUUACCCGCUGAAUUUAAGCAUAUCAAUAAGCGGAGGA